CCUACGGGAGGCAGCAGUGGGGAAUAUUGCACAAUGGGGGAAACCCUGAUGCAGCGACGCCGCGUGAGUGAAGAAGUAAUUCGUUAUGUAAAGCUCUAUCAGCAGGGAAGAAAAUGACGGUACCUGAGUAAGAAUCCCCGGCUACCUACGUGCCAGCAGCCGCGGCAAUACGUAGGGGGCAAGCGUUAUCCGGAUUUACUGGGUGUAAAGGGAGCGUAGACGGCAGUGCAAGUCUGGAGUGAAAGGCGGGGGCUCAACCCCCGGACUGCUCUGGAAACUGUACGGCUGGAGUGCAGGAGAGGUAAGUGGAAGUCCUAGUGUAGCGGUGAAAUGCGUAGAUAUUAGGAGGAACACCAGUGGCGAAGGCAGCUUACUGGACUGUAACUGACGUUGAGGCUCGAAAGCGUGGGGAGCAAACAGGAUUAGAUACCCGAGUAGUC
rnacentral:rRNA from 1 species